AUCACGAUGGCCACUGGAGGGGCUGCGGAAGCACCGAGACCCCGGCCUGCUGCUGCCAACGAGGAGCUGCUGGCUGAACAGGGUGUUGAAGGUCUGCACAACCUGAUGGACUGAAGGCUGGGCGUUAAGUUGACCGUCUGUCACUUUCUAACCACGGUGAGAAAACAUGAGGCUGAGUGAGGUGAGGGGACGGGCUCAGGGCCGUGCAGCCGGUUCCUGCAGAAGCCGCCAGACAG